ACUCUACGCAUUUGAGGUGACAAAUCAAACUGCAUAUUUGUUUACCGUGAUCUACGUAGAGAGAUUAAAACUGUGUCGAUUACCGUGUUAAAUCAACUGAAUAUCAAGUGUGAUCUUAACCCCGUAAGACUCAGACACGU
rnacentral:snoRNA from 2 species